rnacentral:rRNA from 1 species
GACGAACGCUGGCGGCGUGCUUAACACAUGCAAGUCGAACGAAAAGAGGGAAAGAGCUUGCUCUUUCCGGAAUUGAGUGGCAAACGGGUGAGUAACACGUAAACAACCUGCCUUCAGGAUGGGGACAACAGACGGAAACGACUGCUAAUACCGAAUAAGUUCCAAGAGCCGCAUGGCCCAUGGAAGAAAAGGUGGCCUCUACCUGUAAGCUAUCGCCUGAAGAGGGGUUUGCGUCUGAUUAGCUGGUUGGAGGGGUAACGGCCCACCAAGGCGACGAUCAGUAGCCGGUCUGAGAGGAUGAACGGCCACACUGGAACUGAGACACGGUCCAGACUCCUACGGGAGGCAGCAGUGGGGAAUCUUCCGCAAUGGGCGAAAGCCUGACGGAGCAACGCCGCGUGAGUGAUGACGGCCUUCGGGUUGUAAAACUCUGUGAUCCGGGACGAAAAGGCAGAGUGCGAAGAACAAACUGCAUUGACGGUACCGGAAAAGCAAGCCACGGUUAACUACGUG